AGGUGAACCUGCGGAAGGAUCAUUAUCGAGUUCUUGAAACGGGUUGUAGCUGGCCUUACGAAGGCAUGUGCACGCCCUGCUCAAUCCACUCUACACCCGUGCACUUACUGUGGGUCUUCGAGCAAAGGGGGUUUAUAAUUUUUAUAAGCCUUCGUUUGAAGCCCACGUUUACACACAAACACUAUAAAGUAAAAGAAUGUGUAUUGCGAUGUAACGCAUCCAUAAUACAACUUUCAGCAACGGAUCUCUUGGCUCUCGCAUCGAUGAAGAACGCAGCGAAAUGCGAUAAGUAAUGUGAAUUGCAGAAUUCAGUGAAUCAUCGAAUCUUUGAACGCACCUUGCGCUCCUUGGUAUUCCGAGGAGCACGCCUGUUUGAGUGUCGUGUAAUUCUCAAACUUACCCAUCUUUGCGGAUGGUGUAAGGCUUGGAUGUUGGAGGUCUAUUGUCGGUUUGUAAUGAACCGGCUCCUCUUAAAUGCAUUAGCUCAGUCCUUUGUGGAUCGGCUCCCAGUGUGAUAAUUAUCUGCGCUGCGACCGUGAAGCGUUUUGUUAUGGCGAGCUUCUAACGGUCUCUUCAAUGAGACAAGCAACACUUUGACAAUCUGACCUCAAAUCAGGCGGGACUACCCGCUGAACUUA
rnacentral:rRNA from 1 species